AACGAACGCUGGCGGCAUGCCUAACACAUGCAAGUCGAACGAGACCUUCGGGUCUAGUGGCGCACGGGUGCGUAACGCGUGGGAACCUGCCCUUAGGUUCGGAAUAACUCCCCGAAAGGGGUGCUAAUACCGGAUAAUGUCUUCGGACCAAAGAUUUAUCGCCUUUGGAUGGGCCCGCGUUGGAUUAGCUAGUUGGUAGGGUAAAAGCCUACCAAGGCGACGAUCCAUAGCUGGUCUGAGAGGAUGAUCAGCCACACUGGGACUGAGACACGGCCCAGACUCCUACGGGAGGCAGCAGUGGAGAAUAUUGGACAAUGGGCGAAAGCCUGAUCCAGCAAUGCCGCGUGAGUGAUGAAGGCCGUAGGGUUGUAAAGCUCUUUUACACGGGAUGAUAAUGACAGUACCGGGAGAAUAAGCUCCGGCUAACUCCGU
rnacentral:rRNA from 1 species